ACAUUCGUAGCUGGUUUUAUAAGUUUCUUGUUAAAUUGCAAGGCUCAACCUUGUAGCUGCAAGAAAUACUAUAAGGCUAGGGACUGGGAGAUGUAACGAGUAUAUUUGGGGUAAUGGUAAAAUAUGUUAAGCCUGGAUAGACUAACAAUGGCGAAGGCACGUUACAAUAACAGAUCCGACGGUGAGGAAUGAAGGCCAGGGGCGCAAAUUGGAUUAGAUACCCAAGUAGUCCUGGCAGUAAACCCUGCAUACUAAACAUUGUGAUCUCCUCGAGAGAUUGCAGUGCUGAAGCGAAGGCGGAAGUAUGCUACCUGGGGAGUAUAGUCGCAAGAUCGAAACUUAAAGGAAUUGGCGGGGGAGCACAAGCCG
rnacentral:rRNA from 1 species